CAGCUCGUGUUGUGAAAUGUUGGGUUAAGUCCCGCAACGAGCGCAACCCUUAUCCUUUGUUGCCAGCGGUUAGGCCGGGAACUCAAAGGAGACUGCCAGUGAUAAACUGGAGGAAGGUGGGGAUGACGUCAAGUCAUCAUGGCCCUUACGACCAGGGCUACACACGUGCUACAAUGGCGCAUACAAAGAGAAGCGACCUCGCGAGAGCAAGCGGACCUCAUAAAGUGCGUCGUAGUCCGGAUUGGAGUCUGCAACUCGACUCCAUGAAGUCGGAAUCGCUAGUAAUCGUGGAUCAGAAUGCCACGGUGAAUACGUUCCCGGGCCUUGUACACACCGCCCGUCACACCAUGGGAGUGGGUUGCAAAAGAAGUAGGUAGCUUAACCUUCGGGAGGGCGCUUACCACUUUGUGAUUCAUGACUGGGGUGAAGUCGUAACAAGGUAACCGUAGGGGAACCUGC
rnacentral:rRNA from 2 species